rfam:Solanum lycopersicum cultivar Heinz 1706 chromosome 11, whole genome shotgun sequence.
CGUCCCCAGGUUAGGCGGCAUUACCCGCUGAGUUUAAGCAUAUCAAUAAGCGGAGGAAAUGAAACUUACAAGGAUUCCCCUAAUAACGGCGAGCAAACCGGGAACAACCCAGCCUUAGAAUCGGGCGUCUCUGUCAUCCGAAUUGUAGUUUGGAGAAGCGUCCUCAACGGAGGAUCGGGCCCAAGUCCCCUGGAAGGGGGCGCCGAACAGGGUGAGACCCAUGUCGUGCCCGGACCCUGUCGCACCACGAGGAUCUAUCUACGAGUUGGGUUGUUUUGGAAUGCAGCCUAAAUCGGGGGUGAAUUCCGUCCAAGGCUAAGUACUUGUGGGAGACCGAUAGCGAACAACUACCAUAAGGGAAAGAUGAAAAGGAAUUCGAAAAGAGAGUCAAAGAGUGCUUGAAAUUAUCGGGAGGGAAGCGGAUGGGGGCCGGCGAUGCGCCACGAUCGGAUGUGGAACGGUGACGAGCCGGUCCGUUGAUCGACUCGGGGCGUGGACCAAUGUGUAUUGGGGGGAGGACAAAGCCUGGGCUCUCGAUACGACCAUGGAACGCCAUCUCCCUGAUUGUGGAAGGCAGCGCGCGCCUCCGGCGUGCUUCGGCAUCUGCGCGCUCCGGACGCUGGCUUGUGGGCUCCCCAUUCGACCCGUCUUGAAACACGGAUCGAGGAAUCUGACAUGUGUGCGAGUCAAUGGUCGAGUAAACCCAUAAGGCGUAAGGAAGCUGAUUGAUGGGAUCCCCCUGAGGGGUGCACCGCCGACUGACCCUGAUCUUCAGAGAAGGGUUCGACUGUGACCAUACCUGUUGGGACCCAAAAGAUGGUGAACUAUGCCUGAGCGGAGCGAAGCCAAAGGAAACUCUGGUGGAGGCCCGCAGCGAUAGUGACGUGCAAAUCGAUCAUCUGACUUGGGUAUAGGGGCGAAAGACUAAUAGAACCGUCUAAUAGCUGGUUCCGUUCGAAGUUUCCAUGAGUAUAGCUGGAGCUCGCAUGCGAGUUCUAUCGGGUAAAGUCAAUGAUUAGAGGCCUCGGCGGCGCAACGCCCUCGACCUAUUCUCAAACUUCAAAUAGGUAGGACGGUGCGACUUCUUUGUUGAGCCGCGCCACAUAAUCAAGAGAUCCAAGUGCGCCAUUUUUGGUAAGCCGAACUGGCGAUGCAGGAUGAAUCGGAAGCCGGGUUACGCUGCGAAACUGCGUGCUAACCUAGAUCCCACAAAGGGUGUUGGUCAAUUAAGACAGCAGGACGGUGGUCAUGGAAGCCGAAAUCCGCUAAAGAGUGUGUUACAACUCGCCUGCCGAAUCAACUAGCCCCGAAAAUGGAUGGAGCUUAAGCGCGCAAUCUACACACGGCCGUCAAGGCAAGUGCCAGGCCCCGAAGAGUAGGAGGGCGCGGCGGGUCAGCCGUAGUCAAGCAUGGCAUUCCAUCAUAGCCCUUGGAAAACAGAUACGGUCGGACGACGUCGGGCAUGGCAUGCCAUCAUCGCCUUUGGACUAGCAGACACAGUCAGACGACAUCAGGCGUCGCAUGCCAUCGUCGCCUUUGGACUAGCUGACACGAUCGGACGACGUCGGGCGUGGCAUGCCAUCUUCGCCCUUGGGCAGCACAGACGGUCGGAAGGCGUCGAGCGUGGCAUGCCAUAAUCGCCCUUGGACAGCACAGACGGUCAGCCGUCGUCGAGCGUGGCAUGCCGUCAUAGCCCUUGGACAGCACAAACGGUCGACCGUUGUCGGACGUGCCUACACACAACGGUCAGUCGUGGCCGUCCCGCAUAGAUCGUGGCUUGCGCAAUAUUUGUUCGAUAACUAGAUGAAACAUGCGGAUGUUCAUGACGUACAUGAAUCAAAGGAUUUUGAAACAAACCCCAUGCAUAACAAACAUAUUCAUCGACUUUUUUAUCUAUUCUCUAACGUUUCCACCUAACGUGGCUGCUUCGCAUCAUUUUCAUUACUUCUACGGUUCGUAUGAUAUUGAAACAUCUUUUAUUUGUGCAAAGAUAUAUCUUAUCAUUAAUUUUACAUGUUUAGAAGUGUUUUCGAGCAUUUCCGUAUUUUUCCAACUUUUAAUCAUUAUUUUAUAAUUUAUUUUUACGCUUUUAAAUUUUUUACGUCUCCUUUUAAAAAUAAAAAAACUUAAUAAUUUUUUUAUUCUAAGGUUCCCAUAUUUAUUUCUGAAUUUUCGGAGUUGAUUUCAUAUUUUAUUCGAUAUUUUCCCUAUUUUAUAUAUAUAUUAAAGUCAUUUGUGAAAGCAAAUGUGUGUUUGUACCUUAGAACGUGCAUAUUUGGGUUGUACAUUUCUAUUAUGAUUCUCUGGAAAAUCAAUGUCUACUCCUGUCACAUGGGUAAAACUUUUUUAAGCAUAUAUAAUGGGGGGUAGAGGUGUUGAAUGCAGACUGAGGUGUAAGAAGGCAGACGGCAUAGGCGCCCCUUGAGCUUAGUAGGCAUGCUGCGUGGUCUCUUGAUGGAAUGCAUGGCUUGUCCGUGCUAGGCUGUUGGGCGUUUACAAAAACACAUCGGCGACGUCGACGGGUCGAGUGAGGCAAAGGUAGGCGGACGUCAAGGGCGUCCUGUGGGCUUAGUAGGCGUGUUUUGUGGGCGCUUGAUGGCAUGCAUGGCUCAUCCGUACUACGUCGUUGGGCGUCUACAAAAACAUGCUAGUGACGUUUGCGGGGCGGCUGAGGCGAAGGCAGGCGAACGUCAAGGGCGUCCUGUGGGCUUAGUAGGCAUGCUGCGUGGGCACUUGACGGCAUGCGUGGCUUGUCCAUGCUACGCUGCUGGGCGUUUACAAAAACAUGCUCGCGACGUCUACAGGGCGUUUGUGAUGGUGGCAGGCAAACGUCAUGGGCGUCCUAUGGGCUUAGUAGGCGUACUGCGUUGGCGCUUGACGACAUGCAUGGCUUGUCCAUGCUACGCCGCUGGGCGUUUACAAAAACAUGUCAGCGACGUCUGCAGGGCAUUUGAGGCGGUGGCAGGCGGACGUCAUGGGCGUCCUUUGGGCUUAGUAGGCGUGCUACAUGGGCGCUUGACGACAUGCGUGGCUUGUCCGUGCUAUGAUGUUGGGCGUCAACAAAAACAUGCCAGCGACGUCUGCGGGGCAACUGAGGCGAAAGAAGGCGGACGUCAAGGGUGUCCUGUGGGCUUAGUAGGCGUGUUGUGUGGGCGCUUGACGGCAUGGAUGGCUCGUUUGUGCUUCGCCGUUGGGCGCUUACAAAAACACGCCACCGACGCCUGCGGGGAGACCGUGCUCCGCCGAGGGAACUUCUCAAGAUCGGUUUAUACUAGUGUUUGGUGUGGAAACUGCAGUGCUUUCGAACAAGUGGCGAGUUCUAGAGCUCCUGUUACAGCUAACUCUAGGCGUCGCACGCACGGCGCACGUAAGGCCAUGUACGGCCACAGAGCUGUCCAGAGACGUCGACGAGAGCCUCAGGAAGAGUUAUCUUUUAUGUUUAACAUCCUGCCCAUCUUGGAAUCGGCUUAGCCAAAGGUAGGGUCCAGCUGCUGGAAGAGCACCGCACGUCGCGUGGUGUACGGUGCGCUCUCGGCGGCCCUUGAAAAUCUGGAGACCGAAUGUCGUCCAUGCUGGGUCGUACUCGUAACCGCAUCAGGUCUCCAAGGUGAACAACCUCUAGUCGAUGAAACAAUGUAGGAAAGGGAAGUGUGCAAAGUGGAUCCAUAACUUCGGGAAAAGGAUUUGCUCUGAGGGAUGGACACGUGGAUCCCAGUCCCAAACCCGUUGUUGGACUGCUCGAGCUGCUCCCGCGGCGAGAGCGGGUCGCCGCGUGCCGUAUUGGGGACGGACAAGGGGAAUCCCACUGUUUAAUUAAAACAAAGCAUUGUGAUGGUCCCAAAGGAUGUUUACGCAAUGUGAUUUCUGCCCAGUGCUCUGAAUGUCAAAGUGAAGAAAUUCAACCAUGCGCAGUUAACGGCGGGAGUAACUAUCACUCUCUUAAGGUAGCUAAAUGCCUCGUCAUCAAAUUAGUGACGCGCAUGAAUGGAUUAACGAGAUUCCCUCUGUGCCUGUCUACUAGAGCGGGCUUAGCAGAAUCAGGGGGGAAAGAAGACCCUUUUGAGCUUGACUCUAGUCCGACUUUGUCAAAUGACUUGAGAGGUGUAGUAUAAGUGGGAGCCGAAAGGCGUAAGUGAAAUACCACUACUUUUAGUGUUAUUUUACUUAUUCCGUGAUUCGGAAGCUGGGCACUGCCCCUCAUUUUGGACCCAAGUCUCGCUUUGCGGGCCGAUCCAGGAAGGAGACAUUGUCAGGUGGGGAGUUUUGCUAGGGCGGCACAUCUGUUAAAAGAUAAUGCAGGUGUCCUAAGAUGAGCUCAAUGAGAAAAGAGAUCUCGUGUGUAAGAGAAAGGUAAAAGCUCGUUAUAUUCUAAUUUCCUGUACGAAUACGAACCGUGAUAAUUGGCUUGUGGCAGCCAAGCGUUCACAGUGACGUUGCUUUUUUAUCCUUCGAUGUCGGCUAUUUUGGUCAUUGUGAAGCAUAAUUCACCAAAUGUUUGAUUGUUUACCCACCAAUAGGGAACGUGAGCUGGGUUUAGACCGUCGUGAGACAGGUUAGUUUUACCUUUGAAAAUCCAGUGGAGCGAAGCUACCGUGUGCUGGAUUAUGACUGAACGCCUUUAAAUCAGAAUCCGGACUAGAAGCGACGCAUGCUCCCGCCGUCCGCUUGCCGACCCGCAGUAGGAGCCUAUGGCCCCCAAGGGCACGUGUCGUUGGCUAAGUUGCCGCAACAUAAGUGUCGCAGUGACCGCCUUGAAGUACAAUUUCCAUGGAGCAGCGGGUAGAAUCCUUUGCAGACGACUUAAAUAUGCGACAGGGUAUUGUAUGUGGCAGAGUGGCCUUACUGCCACGAUCCACUGAGAUUCAGCCCUUUGCCGCUCCUAUUCGU